rnacentral:rRNA from 1 species
UCCUACGGGAGGCAGCAGUGAGGAAUAUUGGUCAAUGGACGCAAGUCUGAACCAGCCAUGCCGCGUGCAGGAUGACGGUCCUAUGGAUUGUAAACUGCUUUUGUACAGGAAGAAACAGUUCUACGUGUAGAACCUUGACGGUACUGUAAGAAUAAGGAUCGGCUAACUCCGUGCCAGCAGCCGCGGUAAUACGGAGGAUCCAAGCGUUAUCCGGAAUCAUUGGGUUUAAAGGGUCCGUAGGCGGUUUAGUAAGUCAGUGGUGAAAGCCCAUCGCUCAACGGUGGAACGGCCAUUGAUACUGCUAAACUUGAAUUAUUAGGAAGUAACUAGAAUAUGUAGUGUAG